rnacentral:rRNA from 1 species
GAUGAACGCUGGCGGCGUGCCUAAUACAUGCAAGUCGAGCGGACGGACGAGAAUCUUGCGUGGCUGAUGUGAGGGGCGGGCGGGUGAAACACACGAGUAUAACCCACCUAUAAGACUGAGAUCACGACGGGACACCGGAACUAAUACGGGAGGAGCUUUUGAACCACGGUGGUCAAAGGUAAGAUACGGCCGUGCGGGCACUAAUAGAUGGUUCCAGGCUGCAUGAGAUAGUUGGUAAGGUAACGGCUUACCAAGGCAACGAUGCAUAGCCGACCUGAGAGGGUGAUCGGCCACACUGGAACUGAGACACGGUCCAGACUACUACGGGAGGCAGCAGUAGGGAAUCUUGCGCAAUGGGCGAAAGCCUGACGCAGCAACGCCGCGUGAGUGAUGAAGGUCUUCGGAUCGUAAAACUCUGUUAUUAGGGAAGAACCUAUGUCUAAGUAAAUGUGCCCAUCUUGACGGUACCUAAUCAGAAAGCACCGGCUAACUACGUG